rnacentral:rRNA from 1 species
CCUACGGGUGGCAGCAGUGGGGAAUAUUGGACAAUGGGCGAAAGCCUGAUCCAGCCAUGCCGCGUGUGUGAAGAAGGCCUUCGGGUUGUAAAGCACUUUCAGUGGGGAAGAAAGCCUUGGGGCUAAUACCCUCGAGGAAGGACAUCACCCACAGAAGAAGCACCGGCUAACUCCGUGCCAGCAGCCGCGGUAAUACGGAGGGUGCGAGCGUUAAUCGGAAUUACUGGGCGUAAAGCGCGCGUAGGCGGUCUGAUAAGCCGGUUGUGAAAGCCCCGGGCUCAACCUGGGAACGGCAUCCGGAACUGUCAGGCUAGAGGGCGGGAGAGGAAGGUAGAAUUCCCGGUGUAGCGGUGAAAUGCGUAGAGAUCGGGAGGAAUACCAGUGGCGAAGGCGGCCUUCUGGACUGACACUGACGCUGAGGUGCGAAAGCGUGGGUAGCAAACAGGAUUAGAUACCCCGGUAGUC